AAAGUAGAGGUUUAAAGGAAAGAACACCAGAAAUCAUUACCUUCUUGCCUGUAUAAUUAGUAAUAGGAAAAACCCAGAAAGAGACAGAGAGAAAGGGGGGAAAAAAUCCUCUGAGAACCCUGGUAUAUGUGGCCGGCUAAUUCAAAAAAGUCCCAGGUUGGAGCAAAAUAGGAAGUAGUAAAGAUUCCUUGAAAUCUAUUUCAGAGCUGUUCCUUUGGGGCUAUGAAAUAAAAGACAAGACUGGUAGAAAUGACUUAAAAUGCAAAAAUGGCAAAGGUAAUGAUCACCGUGGGUAGGUUAUAAACGACUGUGGAGGUUUGGGGAGGCUAAAUCAUCCAGCCAACGGAAAAGUAGUCAUUUGAAUCUGAAGACAGUGAGCCUCUGCCUGCGUCUGUCUCAUGUAUUGGAAUAUCCUCUUAUUAAAUUACAGUGUUUUAUAACUUGUGAAUAAAAUUGGUAUCAUGUUUACUAUGCAAAAGCCUCGCUAUUUUUCAGAUGGAUAUAUAUUUAAUAUGAA
rnacentral:lncRNA from 1 species